GAAGCUGAAAUGACCCAUUUUUCUGAACUCUGACCUCCAUCUUUCGACCUUUAUAAUUCAGGAUCAACAUGAACUUCAGUUGGUCUGCAGUGAUAUCCUGCUAUAAUCCAGAACUACGUUCAUGGACACCAUUACCUGUCCCUAUAAAAAGUAGCUAGAGACUUUCAGGCAUUUCUAUGCUUACGUACAUAACAAAGAUGAAGAUAUGCUUCCGUACCUGCUUCUGAGGAUGAAAACGCAUGAUUUAUGGUAGACACAGGAACAUUGGAACAUUCAAAGUACUCCACGUCUUCCUCUGGCUCACCUUUCACCUCGGCCCCAGCUGAUUUCUGACCACAUGAUGUGGAUGCCAGUUUCUCCUCAUCAGUAGCAUGGCCAUCCCUAUUGGAAAUGUCUGAAAUCUGGGAGAUCACUGCUCCUUCAUCCUGGGAAAAGCAACAAAGACAUUAUCUAUUAAAAAGGCAAAGUGUUGAGGCUCAUUGGUAGAGUGCUUGCCUAGCACAUGUGGGCACUGGGUUUGAUCCCAAGUACUACAUAAAAACAAACAAAAUAAAGCCACUCCUGGAAAGAGAAAAAAGACCAACAGGACAGUUUGGAAUCACAAUGCCAACUUUCAAGGCAUUGACGCUUACCAGAAAAAUCAUCACGCUGGACGAGAUUCUUUGAAAAUUCUUUAUUGCACUAAAAGCCAACAGAAGCCUCGUAAGACAGCUCCAGUCUACACCUAGGUGCUUACAGAAAAGAACUGUGGUAAACAAGGUAUGAAAGUAUUUUAAUUAAUUGUUAUCUUUCUUAUUAAGGAGUAAGAUAAAAGAUGAACACCAUGUACUAUACAAAGUCCAGAACAGUGGAAAACUUGGGACCACCUGUUAUUUUUAGACUAGCACAUAAUUUGUGAUCACAGGACUAAUUCAGAUUCUGCUCUGUUUUAAUGAACUGAAAAAUAUCAGUAAAAAUACCACGCUGACCAAUAAAAGAAUUAUUUAUAACUUGCUUUUCUUUGGUGGGAAAAAAAUUUUAAAACAAGCACAUAAAGUAAUACAAUGUGCACAACCACUUUAUUCAUGGUCUUCUUUCCCUAAUGUCUAAGUGCUACCCACUGCCACCAAACUUGAGUUGACUCAAUAAAAUUUAUCAGUAAAAUAAUUACCUGCUCCAAGUCAGCAGCCUUAUCCUAUCAAAAAAAAUCCAAUUAUUUACAACAUUAAAUAGCAGAGCAGUCUCUCAAACCACUGCUGUGAUGAUCCUAAGGCCAAGCCAGCUCUUGGUAUUUAAAGCGCCACAUGACGUGUGCCAAGCCGGGGACAUAAGCUCUCGCACCUAAGGUGGGUAGGGCAUCUCUACUCCUUUAGGUACACACAGUUGCAAUGCUAAGCUGACUUAUGAAGUGGCAAAUGAAAUGCAAAAUAAUAAUAAUCAAAAGAUCAAACUCAAAAAUAGAAGCCAACAUGCUAUGGAAAGAUAGUUGGAGCAGGAGUGGGAGAGGAAACUGCCAACAGUCCCAGGGACAAACAGAAACAACAGCAAAAGUACUUACAACAGAAAACAGAGAAAUUUCACUUGCUCAGUAGUCCUGAUGCACCAACAAAAUUAGAGACAGGAAAGAGACAGACAGAUGUAGAAAAAAAUCAUGUGAAGACUAGAAUAUUUAUCUUAUUCUGGUAAAUGUAAAAGUUGUAUAGUACUUUCUAUGAGGUGAGAUAAAAAUUAAAAAUGACAUCUUCAUGAAUGUUGGCACUAGUGAGUGAAUGAUCAAUAGCACCUCAUGUCUAAUGGACUUAGAGAAUGGUAUACUGAGAAAUGCCACAUACUCAAUUUAUAGAUGAGAAGUAAACUUUCCAAAUAUGUGUAAAUGUUUAAAAACAAUAUUUCACUACUGAGCAUGUUUAUUCUAAACUGUCAAGUCAUCCAGAUCAAAGGCAAACAAAAAUACAGUUGAAAAGAUAUCCAGAUAUCUCUACAAUAGGUAUCUAUCACUAAGAAGCUGAACAUUAUUUCACAUAAUUUAUCUUAUUUGGUCAGCAAAAUUCCGCUCAUAUUCUGGUGUCUCCAUUUUAUAGAGGAAUCCAGAAGCCAAUCUUAUGCAUCUUUUUUUUUUUU